ACAAAAAAAAACAAGCUAAUUGCGUAUCAAGCGUAUCAAGGCUUAAAGGUUGUCAAGACCUGUUGGGGGGCAGCGGAAUGCAAUAUUUUUUACUGCGAUGUUAAUUGGGGAUGUGGCAUAAGAAUUUUUGAAAAAUUAUCACAUAGUCCUAUUGGAUGUCCACCAAAGACAUCGCUAUAUCGUGAAUAAAUCUGCGUGCAUACAACUUGUACACCAAUUUAUAACCUCUCAGAGACGAGCAGAUGGAGUUGGAUUUACUUAGGGGGACGGAGAUGUCUGCUUUUGCCUGCUACAUAUUUAUUUUGCAACCAACCUUUUAUGGGGUUUGUUCACAAAUAUGCCCAUAUGAAACAGUUUGUCAACAUCUUUGUUUGCUGUUUCUGGCAAGUGUUUGGCUUGGGGUAUCUUCGGGGUAUCUGCGGGCGCAGCAAAUCAAUCUGCAAACAUGCCGCCGCCAAGUGCCGACUCUCCAGACUGCGACUGCGACUGUGAUUGAGUCUGGGAGUCAGAGGGAAAGAGUUAGUCUUCGGCUGGAUUUCACAGUACAGUAUGUGGGCUGCGGUCGACGCAUCAGUUUCGGGCUGUUGUUGUAUUUUGGUGCCGUAAUAAAUACAUUUGGUAAAUUUUAAUGUCCUCCUCCCAUUUUUCAGUCAAUUUGAGCGGAACACUUGGAUUUGCCGCUGCCCUUUUUUGGGGCCACUUGCAAGUUGCAGUUGCUUGGGAUUUGUGUGCGGUUUGGCAAUAAAUAUUUUGAAUCAGAAAACAUAUAAAUUUAGUGAUUUGCCAAGUCAGUGAAGUCGUCUCGCGGCGAAUAUCUUGUCUGGGACCUGCACUCUGUUGAGGAUGCACAUGCGCAUGAGAAGAGCUGCUGGAACCGUGAUCGUGUUGCUUUAAAGGAUUCAACAUCGAACCGCAGUUCAGCAUAAAUUGUUCAUCUUCGACUGUCGGCCGCGGUUUGGACAUACCCCUUCCACCACACCUCUUUGGCCACGCGCCCCGGCCAUGCCGUAUUUAGGUCAACCCGAGUCGCGAUUCAUGCGGUAGCCAACAUUUAAAGGUUUAAUUCAAUGAAAGUUGCGUGCGUGCCUCCGACAAUGACGCCGAUGUUGGCCAUUGCAUCCACAAUGCCCAGAGAUACGGUUCUUCAUUUCUUCUGUAGGUGAAAUUAUGCAGUGCCUCAAUGCCGACUAAAUUGGCAGUAUGUGGCAGCGGCGUGAAAAUUUUUGCCCAGGCCAGAGUUCAGCAGGCCGUGCAGAGAAGCUCUUCCUCUUCUUUCUUUAGCUCCUUUCCUGGCCAGUCAUAAAUUUGAUUUUAAGCGUUGAGUAGCAGUGAAAGCGUCUACAAUUGACUGAACAGCAUUCUGAUCACAAGACGUACAGGGAGAUAUCUCUGGGAUUAUAAUAAAAUAUAAGUUUAGGCGAGAGAAAUGUCAACUAAGCUAGAAAAAACAGCUAUCCUUGGCAGAUCGAAGAUUAAAAA